AAGGGCGUGUCAUAGACGGAUUUCUCGGUUAUAAAAGGCUACAUCUAUCUUAAACUCUGGAACAUUCCAGUCCUGGAACAAUCUUCAUCUUCCUUAUCUCCAAGGGAAGUGCAUUGUUUGAUCUACUUGAGUCCUUCCUCACUACUAAAUCUCCGGAAGGUCUUCGUGCAAGUCAACUUGCAUGUAGGGUUGUGUUAUUUUUUCAGAACAGUGGUGGCUGUUCCGAAAAGCAACCCCUGUAUCUUCCACGGAGCUAGCAGCUUUGGUGUAAUCAUCAGAUAUAUGCAACGGCAGCAACUUCCAGUCUUAGGAAAUUGAUCAUGGAUGCCCUUAUUUCCAUGCAUAUGGAAUUGAGAAAAUCCUAUGGACCUGAAGUGUCUGGUAUCCCUCAAUGGAUCAGAUGGGAAAAACACUAACUACUUCCUAGGGUAUUAGAUAUUGUGAGCUUGGUGGAUGGCUGUCAUACAGGAUUGAAACGUAUCCUAUCUUUGCUCUUGGAAGAAGGAGCUAUCGGUUGAAUUAAGUGAUGAAGAUGCAACAAACCUAAUUCGGCUACUUUUUGCAUCAACUAGGAAGGCAGUUUUGGAGAAGAUUGUUCCUGCUAGUGAAAAUAAAAAGAAAUAUCACAGCAAAGCACAAAAGGCUGAUAUCCUUUGGAACAGUAAGAUAUCCUGGUUGCUGAGAAACUUUUAGCACUCUUCAAUUCCAUGAAGUUUGCAUGUUUAAGUGUUUAAGUGAAGGCACGGGCUACUACUUCCCACAUGCCACAUAGUUAAUAUAAUCAAGAAAGCUUCAAUUCGUUUCAGACCACGUGGAGAUCAAUUCUCGAUUCGUAUUCACCAAUAUCAGUGGUCCUCAGCAUUCAGAUCACAUGGAGAUCGGUUCCCGAUCCGUAUUCAUCAAGUGGUGAGUCCUCGUUCUUCGAGGAUGAUUGACAUGUUAUAUAUUCAGUCUUCCAUUUUAGUUUCAGUUUUGCUAG